rnacentral:rRNA from 1 species
GUGUCAGCAGCCGCGGUAAUACGAGGGGGGCGAGCGUUGUUCGGAAUUAUUGGGCGUAAAGGGUGCGUAGGCGGUUUGGUAAGUCUUGUGUGAAAUCUUCGGGCUCAACUCGAAGUCUGCACGAGAAACUGCCGGGCUUGAGUAUGGGAGAGGUGAGUGGAAUUUCCGGUGUAGCGGUGAAAUGCGUAGAUAUCGGAAGGAACACCUGUGGCGAAAGCGGCUCACUGGACCAUAACUGACGCUGAUGCACGAAAGCUAGGGGAGCAAACAGGAUUAGAAACCCCCGUAGUCC